rnacentral:rRNA from 1 species
ACUCCUACGGGAGGCAGCAGUGGGGAAUAUUGCACAAUGGGCGCAAGCCUGAUGCAGCCAUGCCGCGUGUAUGAAGAAGGCCUUCGGGUUGUAAAGUACUUUCAGCAGUGAGGAAGGUGGGUAUGUUAAUAGCAUACUCAUUUUGACGUUAGCUGCAGAAGAAGCACCGGCUAACUCCGUGCCAGCAGCCGCGGUAAUACGGAGGGUGCGAGCGUUAUCCGGAUUUAUUGGGUUUAAAGGGUCCGUAGGCGGGUUAAUAAGUCAGUGGUGAAAUCCCAUCGCUUAACGAUGGAACUGCCCAUUGGAUACUGUUCAGUCUUGAAUGAGGGUGCAGUGGGUUGGAAUGUGUAGUGUAGCGGGUGAAAUGCAUAGAUAUUACACAGAACACCGAUUGCGAAGGCAGAUCACUAACCCUAAAUUGCACGCUGAGGGACGAAAGCGUGGGGGAGCGAACAGGAUUAGAUAACCUGUAGGCUCU